rnacentral:lncRNA from 1 species
CACUCUGCGUGGAGAUCAGCCUAGUCUCACUCAUGCCCUCUCCCUCUAGUGUGGGAAAACAAGAGGAACCUCCAAAAUUUCCUAGCUGCACAAAGAAAUUGGUGGAAAUUCACUUCAUUUUGAAGCUCGGGGUUUCUAUGUGGUUGAUUUAAUCAAAAUAUUAAUGUGAUUUUUCUAGAAGAAGAAAAAGGGAAAAUAUAAAAAUCAUGCUGAUUGGAUUUGAAUAGAUUGUAUUGAUCAUAUAUGAAUAUUAUCUUUCAUCCAGAUUGGAAAGUACUGUUUUGAAAUCCAGUCCUUCACACUUCCAAACUGAUCAUUUUUAAUAAGUAAAUGUCAUUUUGGCUUUUUUUUUUUUUUUCUGGUCAGGAAGAAAAACAAGAAGUUUCCUUCCGCAAACUUCCUAAAAGGUGCCAUGUGUUUUCCUAAAACCAAGGAAAAUUCUAAAAUAGAACUACCAUAUGAUUCAGCAAUCCCACUUCUCUAAAUCUCCAGAAUCUCCAGGGAUUGGAACCAAGUGCUUUAUCUUUACCAUAUACCAAUCCAUGAAUCAACUCCAAAACAGAUCUCUAGAAACAGACAAGACUGACUACUGCCUGAAGGUUUCUGACACCAAGUUCCUGAGAGGAAUACAUUCUCUUCUCCUUUGGCUGCUUAAUCCCUUCUCAUGAAAAAUAACCUUGACCUUUGCAUUCUAGAUGUACCAAAUAUGAAAUAAUUUUAGAAUUCGAUCUCAAAUGGCCCUUUUGCAAACUCCAAAAUGUUGUAAUCUACCAAGACUAAGCAAAUGGCUGCUGAGAAGUUUUGCCAGGUCAGUUGAGUUUUUCUUUCUGAACCUCAGUUUAACACUCUUCCUGAUUUUCUUUUACUUUGAAAUUUAAAGAUUUCAAAUUUUACUGUAGACAAGAAAAAAAUGUUAUCAGUGACUAUACAUUUUGCUGGUAUGAUAAUCUUUGGUAAUUUGUUCAAUGUUAACUUUCUCUUUUUUCCCAUGAAUGGUUAAAAUGUUUUUGGAUAUUGAAUUAUAGGCAAUGCAAUGUAAAUAUAACACAGCUAAAAUACACUGCCUUUACAGUUACCAGUAACGAAAGUUAAUGCCAUCUUGUGAAAUGAUCUAGUAGAGUCUUUGUCAGCACUUUCACUAAAACCUCAGUUUUUAGUCAUUUAUAGCAUCAGCAAACAGGACUUCAGAGGGAAUAAUACCAUCUGUUGUUAUUAAGAGUGACAUAGCCCAAGGUUAGGGCAGACAUGCAAAAAUCCUUUGAUCUUCAGUAUUUCUUUGCUUCUAUUUACUAUGAACUUGCCUAGUUGAGUUGAUGAAAAGUAUGCAACGAUCAAUUUGGUUUAAAUCCAAACCUCAGUGGAAAAGCUGUGAAUCAACUGAAGGAACUACUGAUUUGUCAACUCUUGUUCUGUUUUGCCUGUGGUGUGAUAACAUCAUGCUUGUACACAAAAAUUUAUCAUUGUAAUUUCAAAACCUGUAAAAGUAUUUCCUUUCCUGAGAAAAACUCAGAGUUAGACUCUAUUUAUUCAUAUUUUGUAAUACAUAACUCCUAAGAAGACACUCAGCAAGUCAGAAAAGAAGCUGAAUCCUGAAUAUAGAAACAAACAUCAAUCUUAACAUAUAAAAACGAGAGUGAGUGAAUGAUGUAUCAGCAAUCAUAGAGUUGGGUCAAUACAUUAAGUGGAAAAGAAACCAUAGAAUAAGAAACUCAGAUAACAUGCUGACUUGAACUAUCAUGUCACAAUCUCAGAAGACUGUGUUACCAGAAAAAAUAGCUAAUUCAACUCAUUAGAAUACAAGCAUAAACUAUUACUAUAUGUUGUCAUUAUUCAUGGCAUUUCAUGUAAGUAUCUUAGAACAAGCUUAAAACUUAUUAAUUUUCACAUUAUUCUUCCAAAUUUUGGAAAGUUAAUAUGAUUACAACUACAAUAAGCAAUUAUUUAAAUGAUUUGAAAAAUAUUCUUAACCAAAAAUCUAUACAAAUAAGCUAUUUCUGUGGCUCUGAAGGUAAAGUAUAUAUUCUUCUCACCAUAUACCUUCUUUUAUUCUCUCUGCCUUUUAAAUUUUUAUUUCUUUUGUCCAUAGUCUUGCCCUGAACAAUCAUUAGUCCCCCAAAGUAUGCUGUCAUACUCUUAACGUGACUACUUCUCAAGCAUGACAGCAUCUGAUGAAAACAAAAACAAGGUUAAAGGUUUUACCAAUUUCUCUUCUAACAAACAAAAGGUGACUUUUUUUAAGAAAGUGUAUUUAUUGUUUUGAGAAUCCUAGCGUACAGUUUAGCAAAUGACUGCUUCAUAAUAAUAACUUAUAAUUUUCUGCUGCCUUAAAAUUUACAAAGUGCUCUUACACACAUAUCACCUGAUCUUUGCCUCAACCCACUGAAAAAGGUUGAAAUAAAAGUGACUUGCUUAAUUCAUACAAUUAGGUCGUCUGACAAGUUUUAAGUAAAAACUUACAUUUAAAAAUUCAUAUUUUAAAAUUAGUAGGUUUUUGACCAAAAGACUAAACUCAUUAUUUUGCAAUCACUAUCCUUUAUGAAAUGUGAAAAUCCAUAAAAUAUUAUUUGUUUAGCACUAGCAAGUGAUUCCAUGGGUGGGAAGAUGGAUGAAAACUCAUCCUAAAGCACUAACAGUUAUACCAAAAUUAAUUUGUAAGAUAUCUAUUUACUUCAUAAAAGAUUAGUAAGACUAUCUUGCAAUAAUACAUUUUUCCCUCAUGAAAUAUUAGACCUUAACAAUAGUUUAUAAGGUGAGUUUCACUGGAAAAUUCUAUAUAUAUGAAGCAUUGGUUUUUCAAAAUAUAUUUGAUUUGUCAUACUGUUACAUGUUUCUGGAGGAACAUCACAGAGAUAAAGAAAAAUUCACAUCACAUCGUAUCAAGAAUACCUAUUAGAAAUGUAAUCAAUCACUUCCAGCUGGCAAGAUGGCCAGAUAGGAACAGCUCUGGUCUGCAGCUCCCAGCAAGAUCAACACAGAAGGUGGGUGAUUUCUGCAUUUCCAACUGAGGUACCCAGCUCAUCUCACUGGGACUGGUUAGACAGUAGGUGCAGCCCACAGAGGGUGAGCCAAAGUGGGGUGAGGCGGGGCAUUACCUCACCCAGGAAGUGCAAAGGGUUGGGGAAUUCCCUCUCCUAGCCAAGGGAAGCCUCGAGGGACUGUGCUGUGAAUUCCCAUGGUCUUCACAACCCUCAGACCAGGAGAUUUCCUUGGAUGCCUACACCACCAGGGCACUGGAUUUCAAGCACAAAACUGG